rnacentral:misc_RNA from 1 species
AAAACAGAUUUCUCCAAUGCAGGGCCAACAUAUGUUGCAUUUGUUGACAUUGGUCAUUGUGAUAUGCAAGUAUCAAUUGUGUCAUUUGAGGCUGGGCAUAUGAGGAUUCUAUCCCAUGCUUUUGAUAGCAACUUAGGAGGAAGGGAUUUUGACGAGGUUUUGUUUAGUUAUUUUGCCUCACAGUUCAAGGAGCAUUACAAAAUAGAUGUAUAUUCUAAUGUAAGGGCUUGUAUUAGGUUAAGGGCAGCAUGUGAGAAGUUGAAGAAGGUUUUGAGUGCAAAUGCUGAGGCACCGCUAAAUAUAGAGUGCUUGAUGGAUGAGAAAGACGUUAAAGGUUUUAUCAAGAGAGAAGAAUUUGAGAGAUUGGCUUCAGGAUUACUGGAGAGGAUUUGUGUUCCUUGCAAGAAAGCUUUAGCUGAUGCAGGGAUACCAGUGGGGAAGAUGCAUUCUGUUGAGCUUGUUGGCUCAGGGUCUAGAAUACCAUCUAUUAGUAAGUUGUUAGCUUCUCUGUUUGGGAGAGAACCUAGCCGGACACUGAAUGCAAGUGAAUGUGUGGCACGUGGAUGUGCCCUCCAGUGUGCAAUGCUUAGUCCAGUUUUUCGAGUGAGAGAAUAUGAGGUUCAAGAUUCAUUUCCUUUCUCUAUUGGAUUCUCAUCAGAUAAAGGCCCAAUUGGCACAGAGUCAAAUGACAUAUUGUUUCCAAAAGGUCAACCUAUUCCGAGUAUCAAAGUUUUGACAUUCCAGCGAAGUAACAUAUUUCAUUUGGAAGCAUUCUAUGCCAAUCCAAAUGAACUUACCCCUGGUGCCUCUUCAAAAAUUAGUUCUUUCACAAUUGGUCCUUUUCCGGGCUCCUAUAGUGAAAAGACAAGGAUUAAACUGAAAGUCCAAUUAAACCUUCAUGGCAUUGUCACCAUUGAGUCAGCUAUGUUGAUGGAAGACCA